rnacentral:lncRNA from 1 species
AAGGAUUGUAAAUUUUAGGGUUUUGGCUACAAUUUUUGUACAAAUUUUAUAGGGUUUGGAGUUAGGGUGAAUAAGUUAUAGCCGUUUGAAGUUAAGGUGUCAAUUUGAGACCUACUGUUACUCUUUUGAGUUUAAGAGGAGUCUUACGGAAGUUUUUGGAGAUCAGAAGGUGCGGCUGGAAGGGCAACUUCAAGACAUACAUCUUUUUUAAAGGAAAUUUUGCAUUUGGAGUUUAUGUGAAGGAGUUAUAGGGAGUUAAAGACAAUGCAUUCAAAUCAAAGGCAGUAAGUGAGUGGUUUUAUUCAAAGUAGUGUUAGGAGCCAUAACUUGAGUUUUCGAACGAAAUUUUGGCUCAAACUUUGGGAGAAUGUAAAAAUUUGUGUUAAAAAGCUAUCUAUACAAGUUUCGUGGCAUUUGGACUUAUGGUUUGUGAGAUAUGAAGAAAAUUGCGCGUGGGUAUAUAAAGAUUAGGGUUUGAAGCGACUGUUAGG